rnacentral:misc_RNA from 1 species
CCUUAAACGAGACCUAUCGGCUGGUUAAAGGCUGAAGGAGCAAUCCUUCAAACCCAAAUGAUUGCCUGACCAAGUCCGAACAUCUCAGGUCGAUCGAAGUUUAGAUGUGGCUUUCAAACUAAUCUGGUUUUUUUCUUCAGUUAGCAUCAGAACUUGCCAGUUCAAUUGCAUCGACUGAAGUUAACUACAGAAUUUAUCUAAGAGUGACAGUAAGACUCAAAUUAGAGCUUAUUAAGCCUCACUCUAAAACUCUCGAUUUCAGCAACUUAUCUAACUAAUCUUGUGUUAGAUUAGAGAGCCUGCUGGGAUUGACCAGCGAGAACCUUGAAAACUGCAUAGAAACUUGUCAGGUAGUUAGCGACUUUAGAAGUAUUGCUUCUGGAGUUGACUAAUACAUAGACACCAAUGAAUUUUUGUUAG